UACGAGGGGGGCAAGCGUUGUUCGGAUUUAUUGGGCGUAAAGGGUGCGUAGGCGGUUUGGCAAGUCUUGUGUGAAAUCUUUGGGCUCAACCCAAAGCCUGCACAAGAAACUGCCGGGCUUGAGUAUGGGAGAGGUGAGUGGAAUUUCCGGUGUAGCGGUGAAAUGCGUAGAUAUCGGAAGGAACACCUGUGGCGAAAGCGGCUCACUGGACCAUUACUG
rnacentral:rRNA from 1 species